GAGUUUGAUCGUGGCUCAGAAUGAACGCUGGCGGCAUGCCUAACACAUGCAAGUCGAACGAAGGCUUCGGCCUUAGUGGCGCACGGGUGCGUAACGCGUGGGAAUCUACCCUUAGGUUCGGAAUAACAGUUGGAAACGACUGCUAAUACCGGAUGAUGACGUAAGUCCAAAGAUUUAUCGCCUAGGGAUGAGCCCGCGUAGGAUUAGCUAGUUGGUGUGGUAAAGGCGCACCAAGGCGACGAUCCUUAGCUGGUCUGAGAGGAUGAUCAGCCACACUGGGACUGAGACACGGCCCAGACUCCUACGGGAGGCAGCAGUGGGGAAUAUUGGACAAUGGGCGAAAGCCUGAUCCAGCAAUGCCGCGUGAGUGAUGAAGGCCUUAGGGUUGUAAAGCUCUUUUACCCGGGAUGAUAAUGACAGUACCGGGAGAAUAAGCUCCGGCUAACUCCGUGCCAGCCGCCGCUGUAAU
rnacentral:rRNA from 1 species